UACGGGGGGAGCAAGCGUUGUUCGGAUUUACUGGGCGUAAAGGGCGCGUAGGCGGCGCAACAAGUCACUUGUGAAAUCUCCGGGCUUAACCCGGAGCGGUCAAGUGAUACUGUCGUGCUAGAGUGCGGAAGGGGCUACUGGAAUUCUCGGUGUAGCGGUGAAAUGCGUAGAUAUCGAGAGGAACACCUGCGGCGAAGGCGGGUAGCUGGGCCGACACUGACGCUGAGGAGCGAAAGCGUGGGGGAGCGAACAGG
rnacentral:rRNA from 1 species